rnacentral:tRNA from 1 species
UGUAGGGCAGUAUAUGAGUACAGAAAACUUUGGCUUUUCUAGAAAAGAGUUGUUUGUCUUUCCUUGCAG